rnacentral:tRNA from 1 species
GGUCUAUCUGCUCAGUUGGUUAGAGCGUGGUGCUAAUAAUGCCAAGGUCAUAGGUUCGACCCCUGUAUGGACCA